rnacentral:rRNA from 1 species
GACGAACGCUGGCGGCGUGCUUAACACAUGCCAGUCGAACGGAAAGGCCCUGCUUUUGUGGGGUGCUCGAGUGGCGAACGGGUGAGUAACACGUGAGUAACCUGCCCUUGACUUUGGGAUAACUUCAGGAAACUGGGGCUAAUACCGGAUAGGAGCUCCUGCUGCAUGGUGGGGGUUGGAAAGUUUCGGCGGUUGGGGAUGGACUCGCGGCUUAUCAGCUUGUUGGUGGGGUAGUGGCUUACCAAGGCUUUGACGGGUAGCCGGCCUGAGAGGGUGACCGGCCACCUUGGGACUGCGAUACGGCCCAGACUGCUACGGGAGGCAGCAGUGGGGAAUAUUGCACAAUGGGCGGAAGCCUGAUGCAGCAACGCCGCGUGCGGGAUGACGGCCUUCGGGUUGUAAACCGCUUUCGCCUGUGACGAAGCGUGAGUGACGGUAAUGGGUAAAGAAGCACCGGCUAACUACGUG